rnacentral:misc_RNA from 1 species
GAGAGUUGUAGGCUUCUGUCUACCAUCUCUUACCCAUGUCUUUUGCGUACUUAACGUUUCCUCGGCAGGUCCGCCUGCCGUAGGACAAUUAUAAACCAUUUGCAGUUGCAGUCAGCGUCUGAAAAACAUAAUAAUUACAACUUUUAACAACGGAUCUCUUGGUUCU